AGCUGCAGUGCUUUCACGUUCUCCGGGCCCGGGGCACAUGCUCUUCAGCCUGGGAGCGUCCCCUUCCUCUCUAGGCUGAAGGUCUGCAGGGCGGUGUCAGCAAGCACGCAUACCGCAGCACUGGGCGUCAAGCUCUGGAUCAAGGCCAUGGCAGACACAGGACAAGACCAGAAGAACCUACUUCAGAAUACCUUUUGCAUAACCCCAUAAAAAUCUGCAAAGUCACAUGGCCAGAGCAUGUGAAGAAGAAGAGAUCUUGACCUGAAAUGACUGCAGAACCAAACUUUCUCGUCUCCAAGGAACCAAGGGCGCGAAAGUGCCCAGGGCUGGUGCAUACAGAGGGAACGACCCAUGGCCUCGUUCAACGAACGACUGCAAGACGCGGGACUAAAAGAGCUUCUUAUUUUGGUACUUAUUUCCAAGUUCCAACAUUGGACCGCAUAACUCCAGCACCCGUAAAGUGGAUGGUCAAUAAGCUUUUCUUAACUAAAAAAAAAAAAAGCACACCCUCUAAACUACA